GUCGAGCGAACAGAUGAGAAGCUUGCUUCUCUGAUGUUAGCGGCGGACGGGUGAGUAACACGUGGGUAACCUACCUAUAAGACUGGGAUAACUCCGGGAAACCGGGGCUAAUACCGGAUAAUAUUUUGAACCGCAUGGUUCGAUAGUGAAAGACGGUUUCGGCUGUCACUUAUAGAUGGACCCGCGCCGUAUUAGCUAGUUGGUAAGGUAACGGCUUACCAAGGCGACGAUACGUAGCCGACCUGAGAGGGUGAUCGGCCACACUGGAACUGAGACACGGUCCAGACUCCUACGGGAGGCAGCAGUAGGGAAUCUUCCGCAAUGGGCGAAAGCCUGACGGAGCAACGCCGCGUGAGUGAUGAAGGUCUUCGGAUCGUAAAACUCUGUUGUUAGGGAAGAACAAAUUUGUUAGUAACUGAACAAGUCUUGACGGUACCUAACCAGAAAGCCACGGCUAACUACGUGCCAGCAGCCGCGGUAAUACGUAGGUGGCAAGCGUUAUCCGGAAUUAUUGGGCGUAAAGCGCGCGUAGGCGGUUUCUUAAGUCUGAUGUGAAAGCCCACGGCUCAACCGUGGAGGGUCAUUGGAAACUGGGAAACUUGAGUGCAGAAGAGGAGAGUGGAAUUCCAUGUGUAGCGGUGAAAUGCGCAGAGAUAUGGAGGAACACCAGUGGCGAAGGCGGCUCUCUGGUCUGUAACUGACGCUGAUGUGCGAAGCGUGGGGAUCAAACAGGAUUAGAUACCCUGGUAGUCCACGCCGUAAACGAUGAGUGCUAAGUGUUAGGGGGUUUCCGCCCCUUAGUGCUGCAGCUAACGCAUUAAGCACUCCGCCUGGGGAGUACGACCGCAAGGUUGAAACUCAAAGGAAUUGACGGGGACCCGCACAAGCGGUGGAGCAUGUGGUUUAAUUCGAAGCAACGCGAAGAACCUUACCAAAUCUUGACAUCCUUUGACCGCUCUAGAGAUAGAGUCUUCCCCUUCGGGGGACAAAGUGACAGGUGGUGCAUGGUUGUCGUCAGCUCGUGUCGUGAGAUGUUGGGUUAAGUCCCGCAACGAGCGCAACCCUUAAGCUUAGUUGCCAUCAUUAAGUUGGGCACUCUAGGUUGACUGCCGGUGACAAACCGGAGGAAGGUGGGGAUGACGUCAAAUCAUCAUGCCCCUUAUGAUUUGGGCUACACACGUGCUACAAUGGAUAAUACAAAGGGCAGCGAAUCCGCGAGGCCAAGCAAAUCCCAUAAAAUUAUUCUCAGUUCGGAUUGUAGUCUGCAACUCGACUACAUGAAGC
rnacentral:rRNA from 1 species